AGUGGCUUCAUGGCACUCAUAAACCAUCUAUAUGUCACUGAUUUUGGUCACAUUUUAAUGAGAAAAUGUUUCCUGGGUUUCCCCUGACGUCAUGUGGUUGUUCUGCCUCGACUCUCGGUAGUUCACGGAGCUUCCAGACGGACAGAAGGCUCGUUGCUAAGUAGAGCUAACCGCUAUCUGUUGCUAGGUAGCAGUAGUCGGAUAGUUAGCUCAGUUAGCCGCGCUGCUAGGACUUUCGGGUAGAUUUGAAUUUACGGUAACUAGAGGUGGGUCGCGUUCAAUCUCAAAACUGUGUGCAACAGUUGUCGGGUUUUUUCGGAUCUGUUUCCUGGGAAUGGUGGCAACAGGCUUUAAGUAAAUGUCAAAGCCAAAGUUGAGACGUGACCUCCGUGUUGCUGUCUUACCUAUGGUGGUGAUCACAGUGAUGGCGAAGUAAAAGGAGCCGGCGAAUUUCCACUGCACCCCGGCUUUGUGCGGCUUCAGCUGCAGCACCACCUUCUCCAGCUCGUCAAAGUCCUCCGCGGUCAGGUUGAAGGUCUUGAGCAGCUCCGCUUUCCUCAGGUGCAGCUCCCUCAUCUGGCUCGUCUCCUUGCGGGACUCCAGCGCGUCGAAGAUCGCGGCGCCGACGAUCAGGUUGGUCUGAAAUAAAAGUGUUGGUCUCAGCUGCAGAGUCGUGUAGACCUGCAGGGCUUCAGCUGCAGGCCGCUCGGCUCUCUGUGUAUCCUCCACUGCGUGAUCACCAAUACAUCCUCAUGAGCGUGAGCACUUCCUGCAGCCACUGACCCAUCAGACGAGAUUUUCCGGUGGCAGGUUCUGACCCCCCGGCGGCUUGAGCUGGGGAUCCAGCCUGGACCCUCAUUACUGCGAUUUUGGAGAGGCUGCAAAGUCCACGCUGGAGUCAGAGCUUUGAUGUACUUUGAACCUCGUGGGUGUUCAGAUUGGAAACCUCCAAAAAGUACAUCGCUGCAUAACUAAAGUUCCCAAUGGAGUGCCCAGAACACCAAGGCAGUGUUGGUGUUUACACCGCUAACUCAGGAGGUUUGGACCGUUGGAAGGAGAGCAGGCAACAGUAACAAGUUCAGCAUCUUCUACGAACAUCAUGGCAGAGGUGAAGUUACUGAAGAGGUCACUAGUUGUGUUUUCAUCAACACAUUUCUAUGACCAACUGCCAAAACUUUCAAAAAUG